UCUACGUUCUAGGGCUUUCGUGAAAAUGCAGUGACUCCGUCCACGUGAGCUGCUUGAAGUUGGAACAGCCUGGCGUGUGUCGGGUAGUGAUUGCCAUUGCCGUUGCAGUUUCGCUAGAUGUGAGCAGUCUAAGAGAAGCAGUGCAGCUGUGGGUUCCAGCGUGAAGGAGGUGACGGCUCAGGAAAUUCGCUAUUGCACAGCUGCACCUGCACACCAGGGUCACCUCUGUGGCUCACAGGACGUGCAAGAGCACAGAGCAAGAACUUCGUUCUCGACCCCAUUUCUCAGAUGAGGCCAGACGAGGUUCAGGGCGCAGAAGCUUCUCGUGCAGAGUCAUGUGAUCUGGACACAGGACAAUCUUCAAGGUCCGGAUCCCAGUUAUCCUGCCUGGAAACCUCUCCAGUGUGGAGACUGUGGAGCGAUGGGGAGCCCCAGAAGUUGAGCAACGGAGUGCCAUGGUCAGAAAUGUGUCCCAGAAAGCUCCCAAUGGAUUGGACAGGCCAAGGGAGCAGCUGGUAGUCUCAAGUCCCAUUUUACAGACGGGCAAAUGGAGGAUCAGAGAGGCAGAAUGCCUUACUUAGUCUCGGCUGGUCCAACUCCAAAUCCCCCGUAGCGGGGAGCCACUGAAGGUUCUGGGGGCCGAGCCUUGCAGAGAGCGAGCUGAGAGAGGAGCACUGGAGGGGUGAGCUGGAGGCUAGGAGACCGUGGAGGAGGCUGGCACAGAGCUGCGCACGUGGA